UACGGAGGGGGCUAGCGUGGUUCGGAAUUACUGGGCGUAAAGCGCACGUAGGCGGCUUUGUAAGUUAGAGGUGAAAGCCCAGGGCUUAACCCUGGAAUUGCCUUUAAGACUGCAUCGCUAGAAUCGUGGAGAGGUAAGUGGAAUUCCGAGUGUAGAGGUGAAAUUCGUAGAUAUUCGGAAGAACACCAGUGGCGAAGGCGACUUACUGGACACGUAUUGACGCUGAGGUGCGAAAGCGUGGGGAGCAAACAGG
rnacentral:rRNA from 1 species